rnacentral:rRNA from 1 species
UACGGGGGGAGCAAGCGUUGUUCGGAUUUACUGGGCGUAAAGGGCGCGUAGGCGGUCGUGACAAGUCACUUGUGAAAUCUCCGGGCUUAACUCGGAACGGUCAAGUGAUACUGUCGGACUAGAGUACAGAAGGGGCAACUGGAAUUCUCGGUGUAGCGGUGAAAUGCGUAGAUAUCGAGAGGAACACCUGGCGGCGAAGGCGGGUCUCUGGGCCGAUACUGACGCUGAGGAGCGAAAGCGUGGGGAGCGAACAGG